CUUCGGGGUACUCGAGUGGCGAACGGGUGAGUAACACGUGGGUGAUCUGCCCUGCACUUUGGGAUAAGCCUGGGAAACUGGGUCUAAUACCGAAUAGGACCACGCAUUUCAUGGUGUGUGGUGGAAAGCUUUUGCGGUGUGGGAUGGGCCCGCGGCCUAUCAGCUUGUUGGUGGGGUAAUGGCCUACCAAGGCGACGACGGGUAGCCGGCCUGAGAGGGUGACCGGCCACACUGGGACUGAGAUACGGCCCAGACUCCUACGGGAGGCAGCAGUGGGGAAUAUUGCACAAUGGGCGCAAGCCUGAUGCAGCGACGCCGCGUGAGGGAUGACGGCCUUCGGGUUGUAAACCUCUUUCAAUAGGGACGAAGCGCAAGUGACGGUACCUAUAGAAGAAGGACCGGCCAACUACGUGCCAGCAGCCGCGGUAAUACGUAGGGUCCGAGCGUUGUCCGGAAUUACUGGGCGUAAAGAGCUCGUAGGUGGUUUGUCGCGUUGUUCGUGAAAACUCACAGCUUAACUGUGGGCGUGCGGGCGAUACGGGCAGACUAGAGUACUGCAGGGGAGACUGGAAUUCCUGGUGUAGCGGUGGAAUGCGCAGAUAUCAGGAGGAACACCGGUGGCGAAGGCGGGUCUCUGGGCAGUAACUGACGCUGAGGAGCGAAAGCGUGGGGAGCGAACAGGAUUAGAUACCCUGGUAGUCCACGCCGUAAACGGUGGGUACUAGGUGUGGGUUUCCUUCCUUGGGAUCCGUGCCGUAGCUAACGCAUUAAGUACCCCGCCUGGGGAGUACGGCCGCAAGGCUAAAACUCAAAGGAAUUGACGGGGGCCCGCACAAGCGGCGGAGCAUGUGGAUUAAUUCGAUGCAACGCGAAGAACCUUACCUGGGUUUGACAUGCACAGGACGCCGGUAGAGAUAUUGGUUCCCUUGUGGCCUGUGUGCAGGUGGUGCAUGGCUGUCGUCAGCUCGUGUCGUGAGAUGUUGGGUUAAGUCCCGCAACGAGCGCAACCCUUGUCUCAUGUUGCCAGCACGUUAUGGU
rnacentral:rRNA from 1 species